rnacentral:lncRNA from 1 species
CGCAGCGUCACUGCCCAUGGCGACGGCGUUCCAGACUCACGCACACUCACCACACGCGUCACUGUGCCCAUGGCGACGGCCUUACUGACUCACACUCACCGCACAUGUCAUUGUGCCCGUGGCGACGGCCCUCCUGACUCACACUCACCGCACGUCACUGUGCCCGUGGCGACGGCCCUCCUGACUCACACACGCUCCCCGCACGCGUCGCUCUGCCCGUGGCGACGGCCUUCCUGACUCACACACACAACCCGCACGCGUCGCUCUGCCCACGGCAACAGUGUUCCUGCCUAUCAUCACAACAGGCGACUCAAGAACGUGACGUCAUGUGGACCCCGUGACCAAAACCAGGCCCAUACUACGCCCGUGAUGUUUCCUCUUUCAGGGUGCUGAGACCUGAGACCACACCUGACCUGCCCGGGGCGGCACAGUGAGGGUGACCUGUACCUCUGCUUUACCUGUGUGUCCUCUCUGAUGAGGAAAAGAGGCAGACCACAGAUGCAAACAGGCUGGGAUGCACUCCUCACAGGCUCUCCUGUGCCCAGCGUGCCUGGUCCCACCUCACCUCACCAGAGGGAUGUGCGGAUGCCAGGUGACUUGGGCACAGCUCCUCAGAGAUUUUCACUGCUGGGGCCAUCUUCAUUCAGCUGGAAAAUGUGAAGUGCAACAGUGCAUGCACUCAAAUCGAUGGGCUAAAAUGAGGGAAAAGCCAAUAUCGACACACAUUUCCAACUCUCACUUAACUGCAACCAUACAAAUUAGAUGUUAAGGUCUACAAAUAAAAACUGAAUGUACAGUAUAAUCAAAGCUAGUUCUCAGAUUAGAUGAGAAGGCUAUUAUUUUAUUUCAGAUUGAGGAUUGGCUCUUUUGAAAGCUAAUACCCAUCCCUUGCUCUUUGGGCCCUACAUU